GGCAUCAAGUGCACUGAAGGUUAAGCUUAGCAACAAGCAAUGCUAGAACAUUCCAUUGCUGUAAUCAGACAUGUGGCUCAAAACAUUGCUCAUCUCCUGCUGUUGAGCAGGAUUUAGAUUUCUAAUUUACACUUGCAAUUUGUCUUUGUUGCAGCUUUAAGCUGGGGUGGUGAUUUAUUACUGCAAUUAUACCAUCCUGGCCAAGGCCUCCUGGAAUCCUAAAAAACAAAGCCUCUCCCUAGGCCCCCUUGGAUGAAACAUCUCAGUGCCACUUGUACCUGGUGUCCCUUGUCUCCCUAUGUGGCUCCUGGGGAAGAGAGACUCCAUCCUCUUUGUAGCUGCCUUUUAAAUACUGGAAGGUUAUGGAUCUGCUCCUUCUGGAAGACAUUCCAAAGAACAUAAACCAAAGGAAAUAUCUGGGACAGGCAGAGUGGAGUGAGUGAUGAACAGCCUGAAACUGUGCCUAGUCUGAAGAGGAGUAAGAAAUAUGCUCCCUCUCUCCAUUGGUCCAAGCAGUUGGUGUCUGAUGCAGACUUUUCUGGGUAAAUGUGAACCAGAUGUUUCCCAAUCCCAAUUUGUGAACUUCUGUCCC